GGCCCCAAUUAACCACUUCCUCCAGCCAUACCCCACCUGCCUCCAGUUACUACACAGUUAAUUCCAUCAGGGAUUAAUUCAUUGAUUAGGUUUAGACUGUCACAAUCCUAUCAUUUGUCCUCUGAACCUUCCAUAUUUUCUCACACGUGAGCUUUUGGGGGACAUCUCACAUUCAAACCACAACAGACAAAAUCAAGUGCUAAGUACGAUGAGAGUGGCAUCGUUGGAAGACUGUAUGGAUGCUCGGCCCAUGCUUGCUCAGCCUCACCUUUAAGUCCAUCCUUAGCCAGACAAUUCUACCUCACACCAACGGCCCCAACCUCGAAUGCAUCUUUCCACAUGGCUGCCAAUCAUGCCAAUGCCAGGGGAGCUCUGUUGGCCCAUGCACAGGAGCAAUCUGAGAGUUCAGGGGGACUUCAUUCUUCCAGAAGCAACACUCAGCCAGAAGAUAAUGUGAGACAAUUGGCAAAAACAGGGAGAUGAUGAUGGUAAGUCUUUUAUACACUCCUCAAAAGAUCGUAGGUGGGUCCUAGGUGCCUAAAGCAGUGACUUUAGUCAUAUACCCUAUACUGACCUUUCUUCUUCUCUCACUCUGUCUGUCCUUCAAUUUUGAUUCUGGGUUAUUCCUUAGCAAGUUUUCAGCACAGAAGUCCUCACAGGCCCUGUUUUUUGUAUGCAUCCAAGGUGAAAAAGAGGCAAACAUAAUUAUCUAGGUAAGAAAUGAUAGAGAAUUAGACAAGGGCAGUCGCCAUAGCAAUGGCAGAUUGGAAAGUUAUUUUAGAAAGUUAAAUAGUCUGCUGCAACCCAAUUCUCCAACAUCAUUCUCUUUCUUUUUUUCAUUUUAUAUGCAGUGCAACCCGGUGCAGGUUUACAGGGCAUGGUGAAACCGGAAUGGAGGAGGUACAGUCAUGUGCUAUAAUCCUGUUUUACAGCUGUGCAAAUGGCCACCAUAUAUGAAUGUAGAACUCAACAGCUAAGCUCACAGGAGAUGAAGAAGAGGAAUCAUGAGGGAACACAUGCUCCAGCAUCCAUUGUUACGGGAGCCAGCAACACAUCACACCAGGCAAUUUCUCUGGCCACAUCACUCCAAUUCCCGGAAGAGGAAAGGUGAUUGCAAGAAGCUGCAGUAUCAGAUCACCAACUCACAGGAAUUGUCUGAUCUGCUUGAUUUACCUGAAGAGGCUCUGCUAUUUGGUUACGUGGUGGAUCCUGUCCAUGAUGAGUUAAAUCUGCCAAUGAAAAGUUUUGACAAAUACAUAGUAAAGUGCAUGAUAAAAAAUGGCUACUAUUUAAAAAUAUCAUGUUUGUAAAAGUGUGUUGAAAUUAAUAUUUCCUGUUUCCCAAUCUUUUCCAGAAUAUAUCUGGGUAAACAAGAAGUCUAAGUAAAAGAGGAACAUGAAUAAUAAUCCUAAUCAGCCUUCAUGAAAACCUCUCUGGCAUUGUUCCCCCAAACUGAGAAAGCAACUCUAUCACCAGGAAAUAAAUUUUCUUUGGAAAUUCAA